rnacentral:rRNA from 1 species
GAUGAACGCUGGCGGCGUGCCUAAUACAUGCAAGUCGAGCGAACAGAUGAGGAGCUUGCUCCUCUGACGUUAGCGGCGGACGGGUGAGUAACACGUGGAUAACCUACCUAUAAGACUGGGAUAACUUCGGGAAACCGGAGCUAAUACCGGAUAAUAUAUUGAACCGCAUGGUUCAAUAGUGAAAGACGGUUUUGCUGUCACUUAUAGAUGGAUCCGCGCCGCAUUAGCUAGUUGGUAAGGUAACGGCUUACCAAGGCAACGAUGCGUAGCCGACCUGAGAGGGUGAUCGGCCACACUGGAACUGAGACACGGUCCAGACUCCUACGGGAGGCAGCAGUAGGGAAUCUUCCGCAAGGGGCGAAAGCCUGACGGAGCAACGCCGCGUGAGUGAUGAAGGUCUUCGGAUCGGAAAACUCUGUUAUUAGGGAAGAACAAGUGUGUAAGUAACUAUGAGCGUCUUGACGGUACCUAAUCAGAAAGCCACGGCUAACUACGUG